rnacentral:rRNA from 1 species
UGGCAAGCGUUAUCCGGAUUUAUUGGGCGUAAAGGGAGCGUAGGCGGGUUGUUAAGUCAGUUGUGAAAGUUUGCGGCUCAACCGUAAAAUUGCAGUUGAUACUGGCAUCCUUGAGUACAGUAGAGGUAGGCGGAAUUCGUGGUGUAGCGGUGAAAUGCUUAGAUAUCACGAAGAACUCCGAUUGCGAAGGCAGCCUGCUGGACUGUAACUGACGCUGAUGCUCGAAAGUGUGGGUAUCAAACA